CGAAUAAAUCAACCGUUUGGACUCAUCAGUCCAUUACGGGAAGCAUAGUUAAAUAUCUUGAUUUUUCAAUAACUUGGAAUUUCAUAUGGGUUAUCUUAAAACGGCAUCUUCUCACGGUGGAUUUGACAAGUAGCCCGGUGCUCAAGAAGACAAGAGAGUUGAUUUUGUAUAGCUCGCUAGGUCCCCUUAUGCUAAUGUCAGCUAGUUAGCAAAGCUACAUUUGUUUAACACUUCUACUUGGUAUGAAGCUACAGGCUAUCCUUGGGACAAAUGUUCUUAAUGCAUUCGGGUUAAGGUAACGUUAGUGUAGACUACAAGACGAACAAGCUGAUUGUGAGGCUGAUUUACUUGGACAAAGGGUCUGGUGUUCGUAGUGCUGGAACUGCUAUAGCUAUAUAUUUACCAUGGCGAGUACACUUUAAAGGGAUAGCAGCUAUCAUGACACGGUCUCGCAUUCCAUACAUCUAGCUAGCUGUUAGCGCGCUACCUAAUUAGCUUAGCUAACCACAGUAGAUAGCUACUUCCUUGUUCAUUCAGCUAGCUAGUUGAGGCCGGGUACGUCCAUUACAACCAGCAGCCUAGUUUGUGACGAAAAUAUUGAACCCUUGCUCGGCUUGUGGUGUCAGAGUGCCUGCUGGUGUUAUCUGUUCUGGCAUAAGACAGAAUGUCAGAAGGAGACAGCGUCGGUGAAUCGAUCCAUGGGAAACCGUCAACGGUUGGACGCUUUUUCACGAGACUUGGCCAGGUCUAUCAGUCAUGGUUGGAUAAGUCAACGCCAUUCGCUGUUGUGCGGUGGGGCGCCACACUCUUACUAACUGCCAUCUACAUGAUCAGAGUGUAUAUUCUACAGGGAUGGUACAUAGUCACAUAUGCUCUGGGCAUCUAUCACCUCAACCUGUUCAUUGCUUUCCUGUCGCCAAAAGUGGACCCGUCUCUGCUUGAUGACGGAGACGAGGGUCCGGCGUUGCCCACCAAGCAGAAUGAGGAGUUCCGGCCUUUUAUUAGGAGACUACCUGAAUUCAAGUUCUGGCAUUCUGCAACAAAAGGCAUCGUCAUUGCAAUGAUUUGCACGUUCUUUGAAGCCUUCAACGUGCCAGUGUUCUGGCCUAUACUGGUUAUGUACUUCAUCAUGCUCUUUUGUAUCACCAUGAAGAGGCAGAUCAAGCAUAUGGUCAAGUACAGAUACCUGCCCUUCACUCACGGAAAGAGAACAUACAGAGGCAAGGAAGACACAGGGAAACCAUUUGCUAGUUAAAAUCACCCAACAUCCCAGGUCCCCCACCUGUAAUUAAACUAAUUGAUGAGGAAUGAGGAAACAUGAACAUUGAGUGGUUUAUUAUUACAAAUGGACGGAGUGGGUUGAAACCUUUUUUUUUUUUUUUUUUUUUUUUUUUUUUUUUUUUGGAAGGGGGGGGGAUGUUGGUAUGGGACUUGUGAGCUGAGGAUCGCAUUCUAACAGCUAAUGUAGAUUUUUUUUAAAAAACCACAGUUUUCCUGGAGGAGAGAAAAAAAAUAAUCAACACUGUAGUUAAGGAUCAAAGCAUUUUUCCUCUGCUAGUACAUCAUGUUUUUAAGGGUUGUUUUCAGGAUUUAUACAUACAUAUAUUUUAAAGAUUUUUUUUUCUUAAGACAUGCUGUUUUCCAAGUGUUAAAUCAACUGUGUCAUAUUAAACCAAUCAAAACAAAAUGAAAAAAAAAAAAACAUUGGAUACAGGAUUUGUAAAUUGUUUCUCAUGGAAGAAAUUGCAUGUGUUUGGUUUUCUUGUGCCGUUGACCAGAACCAGAAAAAAAAAAAGAUUUUAAUAACUCUAAAAUGUAAUUUUUAUCACUCCAAAUGCUAUUAAAACAAUGGUGUCUCCUCA